UAGUCCGUCUACCAUAAGGAUACGACGUGCAAGUGAGUUGUGCAUCCAGUGGCAAUAACAAAGCUCGGGACGAGUGUUCUAAGCAGUUACGUAUUGCGUGUGACGCUUAGCUUGGCAGAAGUUACUGACGCGUACAACUCAAGUUAAUGUGUAAACGUCGAGCGGUAUAACCUUUAACAGCUGCAUCAACUAUUUAUAUUUCCUCAGGUGUUCAGUGAAAAUCAGUUGUUUUACAACGGAAAAUGAGACGUCGUUACAAGUGUUACACACGCCUCUAUGCAUAAUCGCCGAUUAGUUUUCGACGAAGUGGGUCUUUUCCUUCGUGCAAAACGAAGUUGGAUGUGACAGUGCAGUUGGAUACAGAGGUGGUGGAAGCAGUGCAGUUCCUCUUCAGGUUGCAGUCAAAACUUUUAUAAGAAAAUGAGAUUCAUCAGAUGUAAUGAGAAUGCUGUUACAUUAUGCAAAUUAUUUGGUAACCAAUAUAUGAAGCUGGACUGAUGAGAAUCUUUGUAUCAGAGAAGAGCUUGAAAUGCCACUGGCUGAAAAAAUAAAUAAAUAAAUAAGUCUUCACAGAUGAAGAAUGAAUGAAAAACUCUGUUGCUUCUAACAUGCUGUAAGACUGUGGCAUAUCUUUGGUGCAGGGUCAAAGGGGCUCACGUCAAAACUACAAACUUUUUUUUGAGGAAAGCUACAGCAAAGACCACAAUCCACUCUAAAAUCCAAAUAGAAACAGAUGAUGCAAAAGGCGACGGUGAUUUGAAUGAACAUUAGCAUGUGAGCCCUAAGGGGUUCAUGAAUCCUUUUCAAGAUAUUUAUCUGGCUAUCACAAGGUACUGAACUAUUUUCUGUUUUUCAUUCUUCUGCAUUUCAUCUUUCCAUGUUACCUUCUUCUGUCAUUCUGUUCUCUCUCCGUUCAGUAAUAAGUGCACAAGUGCUAAACUUUAUUCAGAAUAAUAUCACUAUAACAUGGAAAAUUUAUUCACAUGUAUUACUGGAAAGUGAAAAGUAAUCUCAAGUUUUCUUAAAUGAAGUUGAAAUUUACAGUUUCAAAAUAGAAAGUACUGAUAGUAACAACAUUUAAUGUGUUUCAUAUUCAUGUUCUUUCUACUUCAAUAGAGAGUAAUAUGUUUGAAUACUGACUGUAUUUAAGGAAUUAUUAUGCUUUAUUAAUGAAUUUGGUCAUAUAUGGGAAAAAUUAUGUUUUAUUUAAAAGAAUGUGGGUAUGCCCUAGAUUAUUUUAUGAAAAUUAGAAUGUUAAGAUUGAUGAAUUGUCAUAGUGUAAACCUAUUGUCAGCAAAUGGACAGUGAUUAUUAUGGAAAAUCUAUUCAUAAAAUUAAUAUUGUUGUGAAUAGAAAACAUCAAACUGGAACUUCAUAUACUUUAAAAACCUUAUUUACUGUCUCCAUUACAUUUUGAAAUGGAUUUUGAUCAGAGGAGGCGAACUGUUUAUCGGUUUACAGGUACAUAGGUAAAUGAAAGUGGAUGUUUAUGAGACCACACCAGUAAUAAAACUUUUACGGGCUGUGUGUCUCAAGCUAUAUAUAAAACGCAUAUUUGCUAAGGCUUUUCGUUGUGCCUAUCUACAACUCAUUAUCUCCACAACAUGGGUAUUAAUGUUUCAAAUGCCUUUGAUAAGAAGUUGAAAAUUGUGUAUGUGUGCUGAACAGUUGUGGACUGAAUAUGAAUGUUUUCAGUUCUGCACAUCCAUAUUCAUUUCACAACCGUUCAUAUUCAUUAGGCCGAACAGUACUUAUUUACAGCAAGGGGUAAGAUAACUUUGAGAUGUUCCGACAGCGAACCUGAUGGAUAUAAGAAAAAUAUAAGAGUUACAAUCAAUAGUUAUGUAAAUGAAAAAAUGUGUUGGUAUAAUGAAAAUUAAUGGAAAUGGUUGACAAUAAACAAUAUUAACUGAAAUCAUGUUGUUGCUGACUAUUAACAAUUCCUGACUUCUCAAAAGUACUAAUGUAGGAAUAGAAUGGGUAUGGGGAAGCAUUUUUGCUGAAUUUGUUCUGUAUGUCUUGUGCAAGCAAACAUAAAUUACAUUUUUCUUUUUGAUUUUUUUCUCUGUUCCAUUAUGUAUAAUAACAACUGAAAAAUUUAAGAAGUGACCAGUGAACCAAGGCAAUCAGUGAGAGCUAAACAACAGAUUCCUUGUUGCCAUAGGUUGCAAAUGAGGGCAUGGCUGUUUUGAAGUGCUCUGAAAUAUGGUUUUGUAGUGCAAGUGUCUUUUAGAUGAAGUAAUUGAAGAUAACUGGACGAACAUGCAUAUUACUGAAAUCAACUUCCUUUACGCAAUUUGGACUAGUUUUUGUGCAUAUGAAAAUCAAAAUUAAAAAAAGAAAUGUGAAGCUAGUAAUUGAGAAGUCAUGUUGUACGAGUAUAUAAGUGUUGCAGAAACGUGUACGUGAAGCUUCCAAUUCAAAUUUCUUUUUAUGUAGAGAUAAAUGUAUUUUUUAUGUAAAGGUAAAUGUAAUUUUUCCUUCUUUAUUUUAUUUGUAUAUGCUUCCUGUGUAUCUAGUAAGCUGCCAUUUUUGGAGUUGAGUGUACAGUUUAGUAAGAUUUCUGUUUUAAGUGACCUUACGUGUGUGCAAAUUUUGCCUGGAGAUAAUAUCUGGCACUGUGUGAAGAUGUCCUGUAUUUUAUCAGAUCAUCCUUUAUUUUAGCUCAAGUGUUCCCUUGUCCAGACAAAAUACACACCAGGGCAUAUACUGUCCUGUUUCUCAUUAACUGUCCCUUAUAUUUUGAAAGGUGCAUUUUCAAGAGAGAUGUAGCAUAACCAAAAGGAGAAUAAACGUGAUCAUACCCAAAGAAUAAAGAAAAUACUCCUGUUGAUUAAACCAAAUUAAACCAGGGAUGAUUUUUGAAAUCCUUUUGUUGGUACUACUUAAAGCUUUCACAUGGCAAGCAGUUCAUCACUUCCACUUUCUUUGUGCAUUGCCUAUUGCUUCAGCUCACCACAUUUAAAAAUGUGGUUUUAAUGGAUUUAAAGAGUCACAUCUAACCUUACUUGAUGUUGCAUAUUGCAAACAUUUCAUAUAAAUGCCAAAAAGAAAGUACAUAUUUACUGACUAAAGCGAAGUUCCCAUUUCUGAAAUUAGAAUAGUAAAGCGAUAACUUAUUUUGCGCACUGUGUAAAAGUACUUCUUGAGUCCACAAUGGGAGUCAAUAUGAUGUUCUGCAAUACAUUAACGUUAAGAAACACAAGUUAGCAGUUUCAAGCAUAGCUUUGUCACAAAGUAUGAUGUCUUUUUGCACAAAACAUGAGAAUAGUGUCACUGCAAAAGAAGAAGAAAAUCGUCUCACUGCUGAGGGAGCUUCAGUAGCUUUCCAUGCAAUGUAAUGAAACAUCAUGUGGCAAGGGCCUCCCGGCGGGUAGACCUGAUCGCCUGGUUCAAGUAUUUUGAGGUGACAUCACUCUUCAGCGACUUGCACAUCGAUGAGGAUGAAAUGGUGAUGAUGGAGAUGACACAAACACUCAGUCCCUGAGUGGA